GGAGGGUCCUGGCUCAGUGGUUGGGCAUCUGCCUUGCAUGCAGAUAGGCCACAGGUUCGAUCCCCGGCGCCUCCA